rnacentral:rRNA from 1 species
GACGUAGGGGGCGAGCGUUGUCCGGAUUCAUUGGGCGUAAAGAGCGCGUAGGCGGCCCGGAAAGUGGGGUGUGAAAACCCGAGGCUCAACCUCGGGCGUGCACUCCAAACUCCCGGGCUCGAGGCAGGUAGGGGAGAUCGGAAUUCCUGGUGUAGCGGUGAAAUGCGCAGAUAUCAGGAGGAACACCGGUGGCGAAGGCGGCUUUCUGGACAAAUACCGACGCUGAGGCACGAAAGCUAGGGGAGCAAACAGG